rnacentral:rRNA from 1 species
AUGUUGAUAGACUUUCUUCACUGGAAUUUGGAAUUCCGCCAGCACUCAGUACAGAUAUUGUGCUUGCUUCACUCCCCCCCAUCUUACGAUGGUUUUACCAUGAAUUACAACAUGAACGGGAUGGAGAAAAGUGCAAACGAGUUGUUUGCUAUGCUCAAAACUGCGGAAGAUGGGAUGCAGAAGAACAAAGAAGUGUUGAUGGUCAACAAGACUACCAGUUUCAAGAAGAAGGGCAAGUCCAAGAAGAUAUCUACUAGUGUCGGUAAGACCGUCUCUCGGAAGAAGAACAAGGGCGAAGCCACUAAGGAGACUGAAUGUUUCUACUGCAAAUAG